rnacentral:rRNA from 1 species
GACGAACGCUGGCGGCGUGCUUAACACAUGCAAGUCGAACGAAGUGGCGAACGGGUGAGUAAUACGUGGGUAACCUGCCCUCCUUUUUGGGAUAAGCCUUGGAAACGGGGUCUAAUACCGAAUAAAGGGGGAUGGGCUAGCGGCCUAUCAGCUUGUUGGUGGGGUGAUGGCCUACCAAGGCGGUGUCGGGUAGCCGGCCUGAGAGGGUGAACUGCGACUUAGAGACGGAGAUACGGCCCAGAGUAGGACGGGGGGGAGCAGUGGGGGAUAUUGCAGAAAGGGUGAUGGCGCGAUGCCGCGAGAGCGCAGAGGGGAUUAGGGCUUUCGGGUUGUGAUCCUGGUUCGGUAGCGAAGGGGUAAGUGGAGAAGAAGCGCCGGCUAACUACGUGCCAGCAGCCGCGGUAAUUC